UUGAACGCUGGCGGCAGGCCUAACACAUGCAAGUCGAACGGUAACAGGAAACAGCUUGCUGUUUCGCUGACGAGUGGCGGACGGGUGAGUAAUGUCUGGGAAACUGCCUGAUGGAGGGGGAUAACUACUGGAAACGGUAGCUAAUACCGCAUAACGUCGCAAGACCAAAGAGGGGGACCUUCGGGCCUCUUGCCAUCGGAUGUGCCCAGAUGGGAUUAGCUUGUUGGUGGGGUAACGGCUCACCAAGGCGACGAUCCCUAGCUGGUCUGAGAGGAUGACCAGCCACACUGGAACUGAGACACGGUCCAGACUCCUACGGGAGGCAGCAGUGGGGAAUAUUGCACAAUGGGCGCAAGCCUGAUGCAGCCAUGCCGCGUGUAUGAAGAAGGCCUUCGGGUUGUAAAGUACUUUCAGCGGGGAGGAAGGGAGUAAAGUUAAUACCUUUGCUCAUUGACGUUACCCGCAGAAGAAGCACCGGCUAACUCCGUGCCAGCAGCCGCGGUAAUACGGAGGGUGCAAGCGUUAAUCGGAAUUACUGGGCGUAAAGCGCACGCAGGCGGUUUGUUAAGUCAGAUGUGAAAUCCCCGGGCUCAACCUGGGAACUGCAUCUGAUACUGGCAAGCUUGAGUCUCGUAGAGGGGGGUAGAAUUCCAGGUGUAGCGGUGAAAUGCGUAGAGAUCUGGAGGAAUACCGGUGGCGAAGGCGGCCCCCUGGACGAAGACUGACGCUCAGGUGCGAAAGCGUGGGGAGCAAACAGGAUUAGAUACCCUGGUAGUCCACGCCGUAAACGAUGACUACUAGGUGUCGGGGAGCAAAGCUCUUCGGUGCCGCAGCAAACGCAAUAAGUAGUCCACCUGGGGAGUACGUUCGCAAGAAUGAAACUCAAAGGAAUUGACGGGGGCCCGCACAAGCAGUGGAGUAUGUGGUUUAAUUCGACGCAACGCGAAGAACCUUACCAGGGCUUGAUAUAUAGAGGAAUAACUAAGAGAUUAGUUAGCUCUUCGGAGUCUCUAUACAGGUGGUGCAUGGUUGUCGUCAGCUCGUGUCGUGAGAUGUUGGGUUAAGUCCCGCAACGAGCGCAACCCUUGUGAUAUGUUACUAACAUUGAGUUGAGGACUCAUAUCAGACUGCCGGUGAUAAACCGGAGGAAGGUGGGGAUGACGUCAAAUCAUCAUGCCCUUUAUGUCCUGGGCUACACACGUACUACAAUGGCUGUAACAGAGGGAAGCAAGCUAGUGAUAGCAAGCAAAACCCAAAAAGCAGUCUCAGUUCGGAUUGAAGGCUGAAAUUCGCCUUCAUGAAGCCGGAAUUGCUAGUAAUGGCAGGUCAGCAUACUGCCGUGAAUACGUUCCCGGGCCUUGUACACACCGCCCGUCACACCAUGGGAGUUGGUAACGCCCGAAGUCAGUGACCCAACCGUAAGGAGGGAGCUGCCGAAGGUGGGACCGAUAACUGGGGUG
rnacentral:rRNA from 1 species